ensembl:rRNA 5S_rRNA 5S ribosomal RNA
ACCAGCAGCCAUAUCACUCUGCAACUCACAACUGGUAACCCACUGAAGCUAAGCAGGUGUGAGCCUGGUCAAUACCUGGAUGGGAGACCUCCUGGGAAAAACUAAGGUUGCUGCUGGAA